UACGUAGGGUGCGAGCGUUAAUCGGAAUUACUGGGCGUAAAGCGUGCGUAGGCGGUUCGCUGUGUCCGAUGUGAAAGCCCCGGGCUUAACCUGGGAAUGGCAUUGGAAACUGGCGGGCUUGAGCAAGAUAGAGGCGAGUGGAAUUCCGAGUGUAGAGGUGAAAUUCGUAGAUAUUCGGAGGAACACCAGUGGCGAAGGCGACUCGCUGGAUCUUUGCUGACGCUGAGACGCGAAAGCGUGGGGAGCAAACAGG
rnacentral:rRNA from 1 species